CUCGACAAAGGCAAACCUCCCGUGAGGGAGGGACGCAAAGCCACGGGACUUCUGUGACGAAGUCAGCCGAGCCACCGAAG
rnacentral:ncRNA from 1 species